GUAAAUGGGCACAGUGGGCAUGCCCAGAGUUUGGAUAGGAUGAAGGUUUGGGUGCUGAUACGGGGGCUUCAUUUUUGGAAACUUUUUCCAGAGGGCAGAGAGGAGGAAAGGCAGAACAGGAUGGAUGGCAGGACCUGUGUAAGAAGAAGGUCUUAAAUUCUAAACAAGGGUAUAGUAAAGGUAGUGUGGCCAAGAGGGAAAGAAGAAAUGGUGGAUCCAGAUAGCUUCAAUGGGUACUGCAAGAUCAGGUGUGAUGGGCAGGGGUGCAUGGGCUCACUGGGACCCUAUCCAAGGUAAAUGGAAAUAAUGGAGAUGAAGAAAGGAGGAAGAGGAGGAAGUGGCGGGACUGGCUGUAGAGUUUUGUAGGAACUCACUUCAUGGAACAGAAAGAGAAAAGAGGAAACAAGGCUGGAGUGGAAGAGGGGAAGGAAAAGGCAGCCUAAGGGAAGGCACUGGCCUCAAUCAGUGGAAGAUCUGGAGGAGCAACAGAAAACAGUUCUUGAAGAGAAGGUGGGAUAGAGAGAGGAUGGAAAAGUUUGAGCGGUGAAAGCAGGUCAAAGUAGUGAGCACAUCCCUAUGGAGAAGAGAUGACUGAGUCAGAUGAAGCGACAGGCCCUGGGUGGCUGAGAGAAAUACUGGCCACAGACAGGCAGGUACCUUCCCUUGGCCAAGGAAGCAAAGAGAAGAAAUGUGGAUGCAAGGGGAAAGGCUUCAAGAAAGAAUGUGGAAGUGGGACGAUGAGGCAGCGCCAACAGGGGAGUCACCUACAGAAGACAGACAGGGUGGAGGGGCCCCCAGGGAAGGAUGGAGGGCAGAAAGCAUGGUGGAAGGGAGCUGGGCAGGACAGCCACAGGCAGGACAGCCAUAGUUGGAGCGAGGUGAACGGGGAGGUCCCAGAGUAGGAACAAAGGAAUGUGGAGUGCUCAGGGCAGCCUGCAAGGUUCGGCAGGGGAAGGGAAAGUGUGAAAGGGGUGGACAGCAAUGGGCAGGAAGGAAUGGCUGCUCUUAAAGCCUUGAACUUUGUUGCAGAAGUGUGAAUCUUGGGCCAGGGUCUUUGCUAUGGAUGCAGUGGGGAAGGGUGGGUUGGGUGAAGGGGAUGGGGUUUGGGAUGGGAUUUGGGUUGGGACUGACUGGGUUGGAAAGGAGGGAAGGAUUGGGAGCAGUGGGGUGUGAGUGGGAGAGGAGGUAGGGAACCAGAUGGGGAGAAUCGAGCCAAGUUCUGGGUUGGAGGAAACUUUCUUAUUUAACUGAGCUGGUGGGUUACAUAUCUAAUGUUGCAGGUGAUGAAUACAGGCUGGGGUAGCCGUCUAAAUCCACCGAAAGAAGUAAAUGAAAGUGGUUUCUUGUAGGUCGAAAGGUCAAGGUAAAUGGCUGGUUUUUAGGAAACAACUGAGAACUCGGGAAACAAAGGGGGAAGUUUCUGCAGGCCGAUCUUGUAAGGGAUCUGAAAAAAGGGGUGGGGAUUAAGGAAAACUGACAAUAGUAAGCACCCAUAAGAAACAGGUUGAGGCCGAAGAUACUGACACAGGGCCUAAGAGUCCUAUCAGGUGGGAGGACAAGACGUAUCGGGUGGGGAGGCAUUAAAAGAACAAGUUUCCAAUGCAGACUGGUGUUUGGGGUCAGAGGUGUGUUAAAGGGCAAAUAGGGAAGGAAUGAAGUGGUUCCAAGCAGAGAGUUCCAGGCCUAAUGGGGGUGGGCAGACAAAAGAUGAGAUGUGUUAAGUGGGAAGUUAAAUGGCAAGUACUAGAAUGCCACCUAUGGCAAGCACUAGAAUGGUCUAGGUGUGAAAUGAGGGAGUAAUGUCAGGGAGUCAAGGUGGCCAUCCAUAGCAGUGAUUCUUAUCUGGGGUAGGGGGUGAAUUUCACGUGGAGGGAGGUCUCUGGACAUGGACCCCCAGGCAGGGCUAUCCAAUCAUCUGAGGGGUGAGCAGUGUUCAGCUCAGUAAAAGUAAGGGAAAAAAAAUAGCAGUCUCUAAAAGGAACAUAGACAAUAGCAAAAGAAGAAACCAAGCCCAAAAGAUGCUUCUGAUAGGCCGCCUUGGGGUCCUGCAUUCUCGGGUGAGAAUCACUGGUGGAUGCGGGAGGAUGGAGAGCCGGGCAGACACGUGGAGUGUGAGGGGAAGACGCACGUGCAGUGGGGCUGAUGGAGGCAUCAGGGUCAAGACUGUCAGGUGUGGGAACACAGUUCCCGACAGAUCAGGACAAAGAUGACAGCGAGCAGAUGGAUGUAGCCGAAAAGGCACCGGGUACCCUGGUGGUGGAACUGGGUUUUCCAAUGCCUCGGUCCCAGACUCAAGGUGGAGGAGUGAGGCCUAGAGAAGGGCCUAGUGACACAGAGGAAGUGGGCUGUGCGGGUGAGAGCAGAGAGCAGGGGAUCUGUUGUCACGGGGAGGGAAGGUGCAAAGGGAAAUGGAGACAGUGUGGAAGGAGAGCGUCUUGAAGACACGGGCCUUAAGGAGGGAGGAGGUGGGAGGAGGGUGGGACUGACAGCAGCACCCAGGAGGAGCAGAGGAGCUGAGUCUCAGGCAGGGCAGGAGAGUCAGGUUGAGACUGGGUGUGUAUGGGGUGGGAGAUGAGGACGGGCAGAGAGCGAGACACGAGUGAGUGACAAAGACAAAAUUGCUAUGGUGAUAGGAACAAGGUAGGAGAUUCAGAGGCAGAUGUUCCCCAGAGUGUUUUUACACAGUGUGAAAGAAAGGAUGAGAAAAGAAUCAGGAAGGUUUAGGGGAGUCAGGGUUGUGGGGCCCUGGAAAGGACUCAUAGCCUGGGCCACUGGGACGUGAGCUUGGACAGCAGAGCGUGUGGAUUCAGUGCAGUACGUGUGACACAGAGAGGACUGCAUCUGGUGGAGCAGUGGGUGCGGGGCCAGGUCAAGAAGGGAGGACACACCUGAGAACACGAAUUAGGCCAGUGGCAGAAUCGCAGGUGGUGCUGAGAGAACGCAGCAUGGUGCAGGUGGGACAGUACCGUGCUAUGCAGUAGAGGAGGAAAGCAGGAGAAACGACCAACCUGGGCCCAGGAGCUGGGAGCUGGGAGAGCAGAGGGUGAGUUUGCAGCAUAUGGGAGAGCAGGACAGAGGAGAGGUGUUCCCCAAUGGGCAAGAAGAAUGAGUUGGAGCAGGUUAUGGAGGCCAGCAGCUUACGGAGGUGAGCUUGUUGAGAGGAUCAGGGAAUGUACUGCAGCAAGGGAGGCAUGCCAAGAGCAAGAGUGUGGGUGUGAACGUAGAGAAUCCUCCUUUUUGCCCCAAAGGGGUGAAGUGUUUGAUGCAGGUCAUGGAGGAGAAAGCAUGGUGUGGGUAAGACACGGAAGGAAUGAAGGAGAGGUGAGAUGAGGCCACAGAAACAGGGUGUAGAGGUGUUGGCACCUUGGAAACAUUGAGGACCGUGUGUCAAUAAAGGGCAUGGCGAGACGAUGGAAGGCCAGAGGACACAACAGAGAGAGGAAACCACUGUUCCUUAGAGGCAGAACUGAGAAUACAGGACGGUUAGGGGUGAACUGAGACAGCAGAUGGACUCAGUACAGCAGGUUGAGGACAUGGAAGCUGGCAGUGGUGUCAUCAGUGGGGGGCAGGGCAGGAAGGGGUCAGAGUUCAGGACAGAUUCCUGAGUCUGUGGAUUGACUUGGAGGUGGCAGGGCAUGCAGGACUGGAUGUUGAAGAUGAAAAGGAGUUUCUGGAAGAUGACAGUGGGAGGCAACACUGUGUGUAGACUGUGCAAAUUUACACUGGCAUACCACAUGGAAUGAGAGAGUCUGGCAGCCAUUCUAAGGCAGUUAUUGGGAUGUAAAUUUGAUGACGGAAGUUUAUGGUAAAAGAAGGGACAGGAGGCAGGUAGGAGGGGAGAUAACCUUAUGAAUUUGUGCAGGGCUUAGCAUCAGUAAAAGGGCUGACAUGGAAUAGGGGAAGGUGGAAUGCAGAGUUCCCAAAGUGGGGGCACUGGCAAAUCUCAGGGGCAAGUCAGUGGUAUGUUCGGUAUCAUGGCUGAGUGUAGGAGCAUUUUAGGGAAUAGAAGUUAAAUCCUAGACGACAAGCGAGUGGGGUAACAACACUUUACCUGUCAUGGUAACUACUUCAUUGAAUAGGAAAACAGAAAAAGAAGAAACCUUAUAGAGGGUGAUGGUAAAGCAACCCCAACUGAUAUGGAAGGCAGUGUUGGCAAUCACUGAAGGUCAGGAUUUUGAAAGCAAACAAUUAACAAUGUAAAAUUUGCAAGUGUGGGGGUUGGACAUAGGUUACUAUGUGUUUAAUGUGGUCUCCAACAAAAUUAGCAGAGCCAAAAUGAGAAGGAAGUAUUACUCUGUUUAACAAGAUUGAAAUUAAGGGGACAGUAUACAGUUUAAACCACUUUGGGAUUUAGGAAUGUCAGAGUUGGUAGGGUGGGUAUUGUUGCCCCUUGAUCCACAGUAUGGAAUAAUGGCAAAGAGGAAAACUAUAUAGAAAGAACUUGUCAUUAGGGAAUUUGGUGGCUUCCUUAAAGCUCCUUGAGGGAAACACUUGAUGAAUGCUUAGAGUCAGGAGAAUAAACGGUCCCAUAUAGAGAUAGGUUUAUGAAGCGGAGUCUGAAGGAUGAGCUUCAUCAGCAAUCCUCAGAAUGUCAGUUCUACUAGCUAAGGAUGCAGGUAAGUAUGUUGGACACCAAGAGAACAGGAAGGAAGUGUUUUGAACACUGGAGGUGGGUCAUGAGGAAGCUUAUACAUAUUCACAUUGUGAAUCAAUUUCAAGGACAGAUGAACAAAGACUGGGCGUUACCAAUAGAGCAGGGUUUUGUUUUGUUUUUCCCCUAAGGCAAAAGGCAGAAAUGAGUGGGUACACCAUGAUUAAGUUGCAUUCUGUAGAGAUAGGAUCAUUUAAGUCAAGUCAGCAACAAAAAUUAGAGACAUUGAAGAUGAUGGGGUAGAAAAGGGGUAUCAAAUAGGUUAGAAAGAUGGCUUGAAAGGAAAUGAGGGAAAUUUCAGUGAGUUUGAGGAAUGGCAGACUGGGUAUGUGACAAAUGAGUGGGUAAAUAAGGAAAUCUCAGACUGAGAAUCCUGGCAGAUCUUUCAAUGGGUUAGACUGCAGGAAUAUUGAUUUUAAAGCCAGACUGAAGCAAAUUCUAGUGAUAAAGGAAGGGGAAAGGGUGGCUGAAUCAAAUGUUCUACCAAUACUGCUUUUUUUAGUAUUUGAGUUAAAAUUCAGAUUAAAUGCUUGGCUUAGAAGAAUGCAAAGCUUCACUGAGCCUAAUAAUAUGGAUCCCAGUGGGUGAGUGGAGGUGAGUUAAAGUAAAAAACUCUGAGGCAAAUCUUACUUAACUGAAGUUGUGUUUUUAGUACAGAAUGCCAAGUUAAUAUGGUUAAUACUGAACAAAAAAUAAUGGAAGGGCAACUACAGUAGCUUAAGAUGGCACUUUAAGGAAGUGUAGGCAGAAAGUCAAGAAAUUAAAAUAAUUAUGAAUCAUUAUAUGGCAGGCAAUAUUUCCAAUGAAAAUCAGAGAAAAUAAACUCACAUACAUGUACUGUUACAGCUGAUCUUAGUAUGAAUAUUUUCUAUUAAAGACUGUUUUAAAAUAAGUUAUUAAUAUUUGUUGAAAUGGUUCCAGAUAACAAGAAAUAUGAUGCAAUAAAACCUGAUAAAUAAAAGCAAUAUAAAGAUUAGAAUGGUUUUGAAUAGGUAGUGGAAUAAAAAGUUAAGUUGGUAGUUGCAUUAAAAAGGUCAAACAUGGGGAAUAAUUGGUAGAAUGUUGUGUAUAUAAUAUAUAUUGUUACGGGUGCAAUAAAUAUUCAGGGGAAACAGAGCUGCUGAAAGAGAAUGAAUGCUUAGAAGGAAUGUUGCCUUAAAGGCUUUUCUAAAACUUUUUAGGUAAAGGACAAAUUCUGGGAGGACGAAAGAUAAUAAGUAGGACUAGUUACAUAGAGACUUAGGAUGUCCAUAGUCUUUCAAGAAAUUGCCCAACCUUUGCGAGAAGGUGUUAUGGUAAUAUAUUGAUGUUGGGUUAAAGCAAAUUUUUUCAGAUAGGGUAGAUUUUUAUACAUUUAUAAAGUAAAGGGGAGUAGGAAAGAUUAAAGAUAGAUCAAAGAAAGGAAUAAUUGAUGGAACAACUUUCUGGAAGAGAUUAGAGGGUAUGUGUCUUUUGAACUCUGGAAGACUUGAUUUUAGAGAGGAUAAAGGAAGAAAGUGGAUAAUUCUAGAAUUAAACACCAAAAGGUUCUAUGUGUCUGGCACCAUGUGAAGCAACUUACCUAUUAUUUCAUUUCAUUUCAUUUCAUUUCAUUUCAUUUCAUCCUAUAACAGUCCUAAGAGAUCAAAUAAUUUGUCCACGAUUACACAGUCAGUAUGUAGCAGGGCCAGCAUUCAAAUCCUCAUCUGUCUAUCAAACCCAUAUUCCCUUCUAUUAUGCUAUACUGUUUUCAAGUUGAAGGAAAUCAAACCAAGAAUUUCUGUUUUUUCACUGCGAUUAUAAGGAAAAAUAUUAUUUUUCUGAAAUGAGACAUAUUGAUGUUUAAGACCUUGAGGUGACAGGUAAAAUUUGGAAUAUCUGUGAUGGGAAAAUGCAAAAAGGAAGGAAUGGGUGAAAGAUACCUAUUACCAUCUAUGCCCUGGUAUUUCACUUCUUCCAUUGCACAGCAUAGACUUUAGAUUGGCCAUGGAUUAAAAAUUUGAGAAUUCUGACAAAAAACUAAAUAGAAAGGAGUUUGUUUUUUAAGUAGGUAUAUGAUGGGUCAAAUAUAAACUUACUACUAACAAAACUUUAAACAAUUCCCUAAAUGCCAAACUUUUAUAAACAAAAAUCAAACAAACCAUCAAGCAAAAGAGUCCAUAGCCAGCAGACCAAAUGUUGAAAUCUCUGGGCUAAUUUGUAAGAUCUAUGUUUUAAAACUCCUUAGUGAAGAGGGGCAAGAAAACCUCUCCUCUUUUUCCUCUCUUGGUGGAAAUGUUUUGUUGUUGUUGUUGGUUUUUUCCUAUACUAUAUGUAAUUUCUAUAUUGUUGUUUUGUGUAUUUUGGUAUUAUAAAAUUAUACUUCUUAGAUUCCGUUAAGAAUACUUUCUGGGGUGUGAGCCACCUGAGUUAUUAGUUAGCAAAAUGAACCUGGGGAAGUGGGAAGAGCUAGUAUUCUCAAUUGGCAAGGGAUUGAUUCUUCAAUGGGUUCAGCAUUUCACUUCCCUCUGAAAUUAAGUGGCAAAGUAAUAGCAUCCCUUAAAAAACAGGACAUUGGUGAGAGGUAGAAUAGCAGGAGGAAUUUUGAAACAUGGAGGGAUGGCUACUGGAAAAGAACUGAUGAAGUGCAGAGUCUCUCCAGACAAUGGUAGAAACCACAGGACUACAUUAAGAUUGGGCCCAAAUACUAGUUUAGAAAAAGGUAAAUAAAACUAGCUUUACUUAAGAGUACAGCCAGCUUAAUUACUGGCUAGUGGACAUAUUUCAGACAAAUCUAACUGGAGAGAAAAACAGACCAGGAGAGAAAGCGAAGUUACAAGGAAAUGGAACUAGAGAAACCUCACAAAGGGAUAAAGGAGGUAAUUAAAGGUUAAAGCCAGAUAGCCUCGAGCUCAAAGGAGAAAUAUUGGAGGCCAGAUAGGAAAGUGCCUUCCUACUCAGGGGGUUAUGGAUCCAGGGUGGCUAAAGAAUAGAAGUAGAGUUCCACCCAGGGCCAGAGGGAACAAUCUGGGAUUCAGACACAGCAGUGGUGCCAACGUGAAUCUACCUCGUGCUAGAGUCUGAGUAGCCUAGUCUAUCACCCAACACAGAUAAGACUGGACAGGGGCUCCCAGGAACCAACAUCUAAGAAGGGAGUUUGGAGAGGGGCUAAAAGAAAGCAGGUUAAGCCCCAAAUGUAACUGAAUGAUGACCAGGGAUAACUAUUUACUAGUGCUUUUAUGAUUUAUUGUAACUCUGUAACUUUCCCAGUAUUUGUUAAUUUUUUAACUUCUGUUUCUCCUGUACUUACGAGCAGUAAAAGUUGUUCAAAACAUAAA
ensembl:lncRNA COPG2IT1 COPG2 imprinted transcript 1